rnacentral:rRNA from 1 species
GAUGAACGCUGGCGGCGUGCCUAAUACAUGCAAGUCGAGCGAACGGACGAGAAGCUUGCUUCUCUGAUGUUAGCGGCGGACGGGUGAGUAACACGUGGAUAACCUACCUAUAAGACUGGGAUAACUUCGGGAAACCGGAGCUAAUACCGGAUGAUAUUUUGAACCGCAUGGUUCAAAAGUGAAAGACGGUCUUGCUGUCACUUAUAGAUGGAUCCGCGCUGCAUUAGCUAGUUGGUAAGGUAACGGCUUACCAAGGCAACGAUGCAUAGCCGACCUGAGAGGGUGAUCGGCCACACUGGAACUGAGACACGGUCCAGACUCCUACGGGAGGCAGCAGUAGGGAAUCUUCCGCAAUGGGCGAAAGCCUGACGGAGCAACGCCGCGUGAGUGGUGAAGGUCUUCGGAUCGUAAAACUCUGUUAUUAGGGAAGAACAUAUGUGUAAGUAACUGUGCACAUCCUGACGGUACCUAAUCAGAAAGCCACGGAUAACUACGUG